CAAAGCGAAGGCUGGAGCUGGGU
rnacentral:piRNA from 1 species